rnacentral:antisense_RNA from 1 species
AUUUUUUAAUAAUUUAUGUCCAAUAAUAAGCAUUUUUUUCCUUAGCUCUAUUUUUUAUUAUUUUGUAAAUUAUACUUAUAAAAUCGUUACCAAGCAAGAUGGCGCAGCGGACGGGGCUCGAACCCGCGACCUCCGCCG